AUACGUAGGGGGCGGAGCGUUGUCCGGAAUUACUGGGCGUAAAGGGUGCGUAGGUGGCCUUUUAAGUUGGAUGUGAAAUACCCGGGCUUAACCUGGGGGGUGGCAUCUAAUACUGGGAGGGCUAGAGUGCAGGAGAGGAAAGCGGAAUUCCUAGUGUAGCGGUGAAAUGCGUAGAUAUUAGGAGGAACACCAGUGGCGAAGGCGGCUUUCUGGACUGUAACUGACACUGAGGCACGAAAGCGUGGGGAGC
rnacentral:rRNA from 1 species